rnacentral:rRNA from 1 species
CCCAGUAGUCAUGGGGAAUUUUCCGCAAUGGGCGCAAGCCUGACGGAGCAAUACCGCGUGUGGGAAUUUUCCGCAUGGGAUUAGAUACCCCAGUAGCUCAUGGGGAAUUUUCAAGCACUGACAUUACACACCCGCAAUCAGCCACGGCUAACUCCGUGCCAGCAGCCGCGGUAAUACGGAGGAUGCAAGCGUUAUCCGGAAUUAUUGGGCGUAAAGCGUCCGCAGGUGGUUAAUCAAGUCUGCUGUUAAAGCGUGCGGCUUAACCGCAUAUCGGCAGUGGAAACUGGUUGACUAGAGUUCGGUAGGGGUCACGGGAAUUCCCAGUGUAGCGGUGAAAUGCGUAGAUAUUGGGAAGAACACCAGCGGCGAAAGCGCGUGACUGGGCCUGAACUGACACUGAGGGACGAAAGCUAGGGGAGCGAAAGGGAUUAGAU